AGAUACAGCUUUUCCAAGGAUUUUCCAAGGGAGCCAAUCGAGGCAGGAAAAGGAACAGGCGGCCUGGAAUGCCAAGCAUCAAUCGAAGACUCUGGACGUCCACUUUCAAAGUGCGGUGAGACUCUGCGGUGUGGCCAGUAUUGGUGUUCCCUUGGUUAACAAGCCUGUUUGAAUCCCAGGGUGUUCAUCUGCUGCUGUGGAAAGCUGUGAGACGAAGGUGUCAUCUUAAAUUUGUCCCCAAUAUACCUGAUGACCCAGCCCAACCCUGAUGGGGGCCACAGGACCAGGUGUGCCCUUCCAGCGCUCUCCACCCGGGGCCUCUCCGUACAGUACAGAUUCCCUGCCCUCGAGGAACGUAACGCCGAUCAGGGAUCGCCCAGGCCUCACCCUCUCAGGAUGGUGGGCACCGGGCACGGAGAUGCGGAGAUGCGGG